rnacentral:rRNA from 1 species
UACGAAGGGGACUAGCGUUGUUCGGAUUUACUGGGCGUAAAGCGCGCGUAGGCGGAUCGCUAAGUCAGGGGUGAAAUCCCAGGGCUCAACCCUGGAACUGCCUUUGAUACUGACGAUCUGGAGAUCGGGAGAGGUUGGUGGAAUUCCGAGUGUAGAGGUGAAAUUCGUAGAUAUUAGGAAGAACACCGGUGGCGAAGGCGGCCCACUGGAUCGGUACUGACGCUGAGGUGCGAAAGCGUGGGGAGCAAACAGG